AUCUCCUGCCUUACCACCGUGAAUGCUCGAGAUCUCAUCUGAUCUCCAAAGCUAACCAGGGCCGGGCCUGGUGAAUACUUGGAUGGGAGAGUGCCUAGGAAGAGCGGCUGCUGUAGGCU
ensembl:rRNA 5S_rRNA 5S ribosomal RNA